rnacentral:rRNA from 1 species
UCGAGCGGUAACGGUGUAGCAAUACAUGCUGACGAGCGGCGGACGGGUGAGUAACGCUUGGGAAUCUGCCUGAUAGUGGGGGACAACCCGGAGAAACUCGGGCUAAUACCGUAUACGCACUACGGUGGAAAGCCGGGGACCGCAAGGCCUGGCGCUAACAGAUGAGCCCAAGUCGGAUUAGCUAGUUGGUAGGGUAACGGCCUACCAAGGCGACGAUCCGUAACUGGUCUGAGAGGACGACCAGCCACACCGGAACUGAGACACGGUCCGGACUCCUACGGGAGGCAGCAGUGGGAAAUAUUGGACAAUGGGCGAAAGCCUGAUCCAGCGACGCCGCGUGGGUGAAGAAGGCCUGCGGGUUGUAAAGCCCUUUCGGUGGGGAAGAAAAGCCUCGAGCUAAUAUCUCGGGGUCUUGACGUAACCCAUAGAAGAAGCACCGGCUAACUCUGUGCCAGCAGCCGCGGUAAUACAGAGGGUGCGAGCGUUA